rnacentral:misc_RNA from 1 species
UGCAAACUACCAUUCAAGGAUAUGGGUGAUGAAACUAUUAUAGACGAAGAAAGGAGCCACGUGUUCAUUGGAUAAGGAACUACAUAACUUGGACCCAAAAUUCCAACCGCUGUGGUUAUGGCACUAGCCAACAGUAGUUUUCUCCAAUCAAUUCUAUUCCACACGCAAUGCCGUAAUAUUUCUCUCAUUAUCACAACAGCAAUGUGCCGGAAUAUUUGUAUCAUCUCAUCCUAUGCUAGAACAAUUUGUU